rnacentral:lncRNA from 1 species
CAAGAACAACUGCUGAAGCAGCCACCAGAAGGGAAAUGCCACUGGAAACUCCAACUGCUCCACUGGGCUUUGCUGAUGGUGAGGUGGUGUUGGUGGAAGGGGUGGAAGGGGUGGAAGGGGUGGUGGAAGGGGUGGUGGAAGGGGUGGUUGGGGUGGUGGAGCUGGCAGCCUCCACAUUGAUCUGCAGCUUCAUGCCUCCAGCACAGUGCCCUGGCCUGGGGCACAGGAAGUACCUUUUCCCUGUUGUAGACAAUGCAAUUUUGCUGUUUCCAUCUUUGUAGUUCUUGAU